rnacentral:sRNA from 1 species
AUAAAUAUGUAUAUAUAUACAGACUUACAUACUUGUUUUUCGAUCAAUCGCUUCAACGGCAAUUAGAUGCAUAUUAACAUAAAUAGGCAGACUCCGGUUUUCGCUAACUUUUGCGUGUUAUUUUUUUAAGUGCUUAAUUUUUCACAAAUACAUAUGUAUGUAUUUGCUAUCGACAUGUUUCAUUUUCGCAUCGAUUGUGGCAAACAAAUAUACAGUAUGCCAAAUAGCUGCGGGAUAUAUGUACAUAGCUGUCUUUACCCAGAUGAUCUGUUACGCCCUUGUUACGAGCACAACUUCUGCUGGUGUCGCACGGGCCACUUGACGGGAGGAAAAUGUUUCCGUUUUGAGAAGGGGAGCACCCACUUACAUAUGUGAUUGACAGAAUUUUUGUGAAAGUAAAACCCGGAGCCUGCC